AGAGUUAUAGGUUAAAUAACUAAACCUUUGGCCUUCAAAGCCGAGAAUGGAUUCCCCUAACUCUG
rnacentral:tRNA from 1 species